UUAAGCGACUAAGCGUACACGGUGGAUGCCCUGGCAGUCAGAGGCGAUGAAGGACGUGCUAAUCUGCGAUAAGCGUCGGUAAGGUGAUAUGAACCGUUAUAACCGGCGAUUUCCGAAUGGGGAAACCCAGUGUGAUUCGUCACACUAUCAUUACGUGAAUACAUAGCGUAAUGAAGCGAACCGGGGGAACUGAAACAUCUAAGUACCCCGAGGAAAAGAAAUCAACCGAGAUUCCCCCAGUAGCGGCGAGCGAACGGGGAGCAGCCCAGAGUCUGAAUCAGCUUGUGUGUUAGUGGAACGGUCUGGAAAGUCCGACGGUACAGGGUGAUAGUCCCGUACACCAAAAUGCACAGGUUGUGAACUCGAAGAGUAGGGCGGGACACGUGGUAUCCUGUCUGAAUAUGGGGGGACCAUCCUCCAAGGCUAAAUACUCCUGACUGACCGAUAGUGAACCAGUACCGUGAGGGAAAGGCGAAAAGAACCCCGGCGAGGGGAGUGAAAAAGAACCUGAAACCGUGUACGUACAAGCAGUGGGAGCCUCUUUAUGGGGUGACUGCGUACCUUUUGUAUAAUGGGUCAGCGACUUAUAUUCUGUAGCAAGGUUAACCGUAUAGGGGAGCCGAAGGGAAACCGAGUCUUAACUGGGCGUUAAGUUGCAGGGUAUAGACCCGAAACCCGGUGAUCUAGCCAUGGGCAGGUUGAAGGUUGGGUAACACUAACUGGAGGACCGAACCGACUAAUGUUGAAAAAUUAGCGGAUGACUUGUGGCUGGGGGUGAAAGGCCAAUCAAACCGGGAGAUAGCUGGUUCUCCCCGAAAGCUAUUUAGGUAGCGCCUCGUGAAUUCAUCUUCGGGGGUAGAGCACUGUUUCGGCUAGGGGGUCAUCCCGACUUACCAACCCGAUGCAAACUGCGAAUACCGAAGAAUGUUAUCACGGGAGACACACGGCGGGUGCUAACGUCCGUCGUGAAGAGGGAAACAACCCAGACCGCCAGCUAAGGUCCCAAAGUCAUGGUUAAGUGGGAAACGAUGUGGGAAGGCACAGACAGCCAGGAUGUUGGCUUAGAAGCAGCCAUCAUUUAAAGAAAGCGUAAUAGCUCACUGGUCGAGUCGGCCUGCGCGGAAGAUGUAACGGGGCUAAACCAUGCACCGAAGCUGCGGCAGCGACACUAUGUGUUGUUGGGUAGGGGAGCGUUCUGUAAGCCGUUGAAGGUGUGCUGUGAGGCAUGCUGGAGGUAUCAGAAGUGCGAAUGCUGACAUAAGUAACGAUAAUGCGGGUGAAAAACCCGCACGCCGGAAGACCAAGGGUUCCUGUCCAACGUUAAUCGGGGCAGGGUGAGUCGACCCCUAAGGCGAGGCCGAAAGGCGUAGUCGAUGGGAAACAGGUUAAUAUUCCUGUACUUGGUGUUACUGCGAAGGGGGGACGGAGAAGGCUAUGUUAGCCGGGCGACGGUUGUCCCGGUUUAAGCAUGUAGGCGGAGGUUCCAGGUAAAUCCGGUACCUUUUUAACGCUGAGGUGUGAUGACGAGGCACUACGGUGCUGAAGUAACAAAUGCCCUGCUUCCAGGAAAAGCCUCUAAGCAUCAGGUAACACGAAAUCGUACCCCAAACCGACACAGGUGGUCAGGUAGAGAAUACCAAGGCGCUUGAGAGAACUCGGGUGAAGGAACUAGGCAAAAUGGUGCCGUAACUUCGGGAGAAGGCACGCUGAUAUGUAGGUGAAGUGAUUUACUCAUGGAGCUGAAAUCAGUCGAAGAUACCAGCUGGCUGCAACUGUUUAUUAAAAACACAGCACUGUGCAAACACGAAAGUGGACGUAUACGGUGUGACGCCUGCCCGGUGCCGGAAGGUUAAUUGAUGGGGUUAUCCGUAAGGAGAAGCUCUUGAUCGAAGCCCCGGUAAACGGCGGCCGUAACUAUAACGGUCCUAAGGUAGCGAAAUUCCUUGUCGGGU
rnacentral:rRNA from 1 species